GACGUAGGGCGCGAGCGUUUGUCCGGAUUUAUUGGGCGUAAAGAGCUCGUAGGCGGCUUAUUGCGUCGACCGUGAAAACCCGUGGCUUAACUGCGGCUUGCGGUCGAUACGGGCGGGCUGGAGUUCGGUAGGGGAGACUUGGAAUUCCUGGUGGUAGCGGUGAAAUGCGCAGAUAUCAGGAGGAACACCGGUGGCGAAGGCGGGUCUCUGGGCCGAUACUGACGCUGAGGAGCGAAAGCGUGGGGAGCGAACAGG
rnacentral:rRNA from 1 species